AACGAACGCUGGCGGCAUGCCUAACACAUGCAAGUCGAACGAGACCUUCGGGUCUAGUGUCGCACGGGUGCGUAACGCGUGGGAACCUGCCCUUAGGUUCGGAAUAACUCCCCGAAAGGGGUGCUAAUACCGGAUAAUGUCUUCGGACCAACGAUUUAUCGCCUUUGGAUGGGCCCGCGUUGGAUUAGCUAGUUGGUAGGGUAAAAGCCUACCAAGGCGACGAUCCAUAGCUGGUCUGAGAGGAUGAUCAGCCACACUGGGACUGAGACACGGCCCAGACUACUACGGGAGGCAGCAGUGGGGAAUAUUGGACAAUGGGCGAAAGCCUGAUCCAGCAAUGCCGCGUGAGUGAUGAAGGCCUUAGGGUUGUAAAGCUCUUUUACCCGGGAUGAUAAUGACAGUACCGGGAGAAUAAGCUCCGGCUAACUCCGUG
rnacentral:rRNA from 1 species